GAUGAACGCUGACAGAAUGCUUAACACAUGCAAGUCUUUGGCGAAGCUGUGCUUGCACAGCCUAGCCAAGGCGGACGGGUGAGUAACGCGUAAGGAACUUGCCCUGCAGUCAGGGAUAACAGACGGAAACGACUGAUAAGACCUGGUAAAGUCAGGCGGACUCAUGUCCAGCCUGAUGAAAAGUGAUGCUGCAGGAGAGCCUUGCGUCCUAUUAGCUUGUUGGUGGGGUAACGGCCCACCAAGGCGAUGAUAGGUAGCCGGCCUGAGAGGGUGGACGGCCACAAGGGGACUGAGAUACGGCCCUUACUCCUCCGGGAGGCAGCAGUGGGGAAUAUUGGACAAUGGGGGCAACACUGAUCAAGCAAUUCUGUGUGAACGAUGAAGGUUUUCGGAUUGUAAAGUGCUUUCAGCAGGGAAGAAAAAAAUGACGGUACCUGCAGAAGAAGCGACGGCUAAAUACGUG
rnacentral:rRNA from 1 species